GUGCCAGCCGCCGCGGUAAUACAGAGGUGGCGAGCGUUAUUCGGAAUUAUUGGGCGUAAAGGGCGCGUAGGCGGCCAAGCAAGUCCCGGGUGAAAUCCCUCGGCUCAACCGAGGAACUGCCUUGGAAACUGCUUGGCUCGAGGCCGGGAGAGGGUAGUGGAAUUCCCAGUGUAGCGGUGAAAUGCGUAGAUACUGGGAGGAACACCGGUGGCGAAGGCGGCUACCUGGACCGGUUCUGACGCUGAGGCGCGAAAGCGUGGGGAGCAAACAGGAUUAGAUACCCUCGUAGUCC
rnacentral:rRNA from 1 species